rnacentral:rRNA from 1 species
AGAGUUUGAUCCUGGCUCAGAACGAACGUUGGCGGCGUGGAUUAGGCAUGCAAGUCGAACGCGAAAGAGGGGGCAACUCCUCGAGUAGAGUGGCGAAAGGGGCAGUAAGGCGUGGAUAACCUACCCCGAGGAUGGGCAUAGCCGUUCUAACGGACGGGUAAUUCCCAGCGUUGUAGCGAGGCCGCAUGGUUUUGCUAUUAAAUGAUUUAUCGCCUUGGGAGGGGUUCACGUGAUAUUAGCUUGUUGGUGAGGUAACGGCUCACCAAGGCGAAGAUGUCUAGCGGGUGUGAGAGCACGACCCGCGCCACUGGCACUGAGACACUGGCCAGACACCUACGGGUGGCUGCAGUCGAGGAUCUUCGGCAAUGAGCGCAAGCUUGACCGAGCGACGCCGCGUGCGCGAUGAAGGCCUUCGGGUUGUAAAGCGCUGUCGAGGGGGAGGAAGCUCCGCAAGGGGUUGACCUAUCCCUGGAGGAAGCACGGGCUAAGUUCGUGCCAGCAGCCGCGGUAAGACGAACCGUGCGAACGUUGUUCGGAUUCACUGGGCUUAAAGGGCGCGUA